ACAGAGGCGGAGCAGAAGCUGCCCCUCGGCACGAGGCUGGAUCAGCAGACACUGCCACUGGGUGGCCGGGAGCUGAGCCAGGGCCUGCUUCCCCUGCCGCAGCCCUACCAGGCCCAGGGAGUCCUGGCCUCCCAAGCCCUGUCACAGGGCUCGGAGCCAAGCUCAGAGAACGCCAAUGACAGUUCUCAGCAGACAGGCAGCCAGGCUGGCACCUGGACCGCCAAGCAGAGUUGAUCCUGGAGGAAGCAGUGAGGGAAGCGGCAGUUGCAAAGGCACGGACCAUCAUUUUGCGCAACCUGAACCCACACAGCACCAUGGAUUCCAUCCUGGGGGCCCUGGCACCCUACGCGGUGCUGUCCUCCUCCAACGUGCGCGUCAUAAAGGACAAGCAGACCCAACUGAACCGCGGCUUUGCCUUCAUCCAGCUCUCCACCAUCGAGGCAGCCCAGCUGCUGCAGAUCCUGCAGGCCCUGCACCCACCACUCACUAUCGACGGCAAGACCAUCAAUGUUGAGUUUGCCAAGGGUUCUAAGAGGGACAUGGCCUCCAAUGAAGGCAGUCGCAUCAGUGCUGCCUCUGUGGCCAGCACUGCCAUUGCUGCGGCCCAGUGGGCCAUCUCACAGGCCUCCCAAGGUGGGGAGGGUACCUGGGCCACCUCCGAGGAGCCGCCAGUCGACUACAGCUACUACCAACAGGAUGAGGGCUAUGGCAACAGCCAGGGCACAGAGUCUUCCCUCUAUGCCCAUGGCUACCUCAAGGGCACCAAGGGCCCUGGCAUCACUGGAACCAAAGGGGAUCCUACUGGAGCAGGUCCUGAGGCCUCCCUAGAGCCUGGGGCCGACUCUGU
rnacentral:sRNA from 1 species